rnacentral:lncRNA from 1 species
AUAUUACUCACCUAAUAUAUAUUAAGGGCGUGUUUGGUUCGAAGUCGGAAUCGGAAUCAGAAUCAGAAUCGAAAUAAGCUAGAAUUGGAAUCGGAAUGACUCAUUAUCUAAUUCUGUUUGGUUCGUUACCUGAAUCGGAAUUGGAAUAAAUCAUUCUCAUUAUCGGUGUUUGGUUCAGCUAGAUAUAAAAAACGUAAUCAAAUUAAUAU